UAGGAUGUUAUCUACCAGGGGAUAUUUGGUUUAUACCAUGGUGAUACCCGAGAGAGGCAAUUGCUAAGUUGUGAUGCACUCAUACCUUUACUAGAUGCGAACAAUUCCGGAGAAGAAGAAGUGGAAUCGGACGAGGAUUUUAUUUAUAUUGUUGGGAUUCUUAUAUUUAUGGAGUUGAAGAAGUCCGGGGACAAAUAAGCCAAGGCAAGCCAUCUUUUGAUCUCUGAUUUGGUGUCUAGUUGGAUGUCAUUUGUUGAUGUCCAAAGCACCUUAAUUCUAUGUGUGUUACUCUCUCUAUUUAUGUCAUCUAUGUGUGAUUUCAAGUGGGGAACUCCCUAGUGGUGAUACUCCACUAUUGUCUUUGUGAUUAUGGGAUGCAUGGUAUCAUGGCCGUGCUAUUUCA